AUUGAACGCUGGCGGCAUGCCUUACACAUGCAAGUCGAACGGUAACAGGCCGCAAGGUGCUGACGAGUGGCGAACGGGUGAGUAAUGCAUCGGAACGUGCCCAGUCGUGGGGGAUAACUGCUCGCAAGAGCAGCUAAUACCGCAUACGGCCUGAGGGUGAAAGCGGGGGACCGUAAUGCCUCGCGCGAUUGGAGCGGCCGAGGUCAGAUUAGCUAGUUGGUGGGGUAAAGGCCUACCAAAGCAACGAUCUGUAGUUGGUCCGAGAGGACGACCAGCCACACUGGGACUGAGACACGGCCCAGACUCCUAAGGGAGGCAGCAGUGGGGAAUUUUGGACAAUGGGCGCAAGCCUGAUCCAGCAAUGCCGCGUGCAGGAAGAAGGCCUUCGGGUUGUAAACUGCUUUUGUCAGGGAAGAAAUCUUCUGGGCUAAUACCCCGGGAGGAUGACGGUACCUGAAGAAUAAGCACCGGCUAACUACGUGCCAGCAGCCGCCGUAACAC
rnacentral:rRNA from 1 species